UAAGGGGAAGAAUGGAAAAUAGUUUAGAAUGUCUUAUGCUAUAAAAACAUCUUCGAUUAAUCAUGAUCUGUAACAACAGCACAUAAAGAUUGAUGGUGUUGCUCUCAUUUUCAGAUGAGAACAACAGACUCAGAAAGGUUAAGAAACUUAUCCGAGGUAACCAAACUGCAAGAAAAAAAGGCUUACAGAAGAGUUUGGAAAAAAGGCCUCAGUUUCAUCUGUUUUCAAUCUCUGUUUAAGGAGAUGCUAAGGAUGUGUUUCAUAAUAAGAAUCCAAGUGACAAGGAGUCAAGUCUGUAACAACUGUGUUUAGCUGUGAGAAAAAAUCCAGAAGAAAUGCCCAUUUCCCAUUCUUCAGGAAAUUGUAUGGGAGUACAGAAAACAGAUAAACAAUAUCAACUUAAGCAACGUAUGUUUGAGUAUAUAAUAAUAUUGGAAAAAUUAAGCUUGAAAUAAAAAGAAACAGAAGCAGA